AGAGUUUGAUCAUGGCUCAGGAUGAACGCUGGCGGUAUGCUUAACACAUGCAAGUCGAACGAAAUCUUCGGAUUUAGUGGCGGACGGGUGAGUAACGCGUGAGAAUCUACUCUUAGAUUGGGGACAACAGUUGGAAACGACUGCUAAUACCGAAUGUGCCGAAAGGUAAAAGAUUUAUCGUCUGAGAAUGAGCUCGCGUUGGAUUAGCUAGUUGGAGUGGUAAUGGCACACCAAGGCGACGAUCCAUAACUGGUCUGAGAGGAUGACCAGUCACACUGGGACUGAGACACGGCCCAGACUCCUACGGGAGGCAGCAGUGGGGAAUUUUCCGCAAUGGGCGAAAGCCUGACGGAGCAAUACCGCGUGAGGGAGGAAGGCUCUUGGGUCGUAAACCUCUUUUAUUAGGGAAGAAGAUCUGACGGUACCUAAUGAAUCAGCUCGAUCCCCG
rnacentral:rRNA from 1 species